AACGAACGCUGGCGGCAUGCCUAACACAUGCAAGUCGAACGAGACCUUCGGGUCUAGUGGCGCACGGGUGCGUAACGCGUGGGAACCUGCCCUUAGGUUCGGAAUAACUCCCCGAAAGGGGUGCUAAUACCGGAUAAUGUCUUCGGACCAAAGAUUUAUCGCCUUUGGAUGGGCCCGCGUUGGAUUAGCUAGUUGGUAGGGUAAAAGCCUACCAAGGCGACGAUCCAUAGCUGGUCUGAGAGGAUGAUCAGCCACACUGGGACUGAGACACGGCCCAGACUGCUACGGGAGGCAGCAGUGGAGAAUAUUGGACGAUGAGCGAAAGCCUGAUCCAGCAGUGCCGCGUGAGUGAUGAAGGCCUUAGGGUUGUAAAGCUCUUUUACCCGGGAUGAUAAUGACAGUACCGGGAGAAUAAGCUCCGGCUAACUCCGUG
rnacentral:rRNA from 1 species